UACGUAGGGUGCAAGCGUUUGUCCGGAAUUAUUGGGCGUAAAGAGCUCGUAGGCGGUUUGUUGCGUCGGCUGUGAAAUCCCGAGGCUCAACCUCGGGUCUGCAGUCGAUACGAGCAAACUAGAGUGUUGCAGGGGAGACUGGAAUUCCUGGUGUAGCGGUGAAAUGCGUAGAUAUCUGGAGGAACACCGGUGGCGAAGGCGGCAUCCUGGACCGGUAUUGACGCUGAGGCGCGAAAGCCAGGGGAGCAAACAGGAU
rnacentral:rRNA from 1 species